rnacentral:rRNA from 1 species
GACGAACGCUGGCGGCGUGCUUAACACAUGCAAGUCGAACGGAAAGGCCCUGCUUUUGUGGGGUGCUCGAGUGGCGAACGGGUGAGUAACACGUGAGUAACCUGCCCUUGACUUUGGGAUAACUUCAGGAAACUGGGGCUAAUACCGGAUAGGAGCUCCUGCUGCAUGGUGGGGGUUGGAAAGUUUCGGCGGUUGGGGAUGGACUCGCGGCUUAUCAGCUUGUUGGUGGGGUAGUGGCUUACCAAGGCUUUGACGGGUAGCCGGCCUGAGAGGGUGACCGGCCACAUUGGGACUGAGAUACGGCCCAGACUCCUACGGGAGGCAGCAGUGGGGAAUAUUGAACAAUGGGCGGAGGCCUAAUGCAGCAACGCCGCGUGCGGGAUGACGGCCUUCGGGUUGUAAACCGCUUUGGCCUGUAACGAAGCGUGAGUGACGGUAAUGGGUAAAGAAGCACCGGCUAACUACGUG